rnacentral:rRNA from 1 species
UACGUAGGGACCAAGCGUUGUUCGGAUUUACUGGGCGUAAGGGGCGCGUAGGCGGUCGUGACAAGUCACUUGUGAAAUCUCCGGGCUUAACUCGGAACGGUCAAGUGAUACUGUCGGACUAGAGUACAGAAGGGGCAACUGGAAUUCUCGGUGUAGCGGUGAAAUGCGUAGAUAUCGAGAGGAACACCUGCGGCGAAGGCGGGUUGCUGGGCUGAUACUGACGCUGAGGCGCGAAAGCUAGGGGAGCGAACGGG